AUAAGCGAGCGCGGAGAAAGGUGUACGUCCGUGGGUCAGCGCGGAGCUGCGUGCACUGCGGGUGCCCACGAGGUCACCUCGGAGGGGGAGUGGGUGAGCACUGCUCUCCCCUGCCGGCCUCCAGAUGUCUUCCGAGCGCAGUGUGGAGUCCUUUCUGUGAAGCACUUCUUUCUGCAUAAAUUGGUACCAGUAAUGACUCCUUCCUCUGUCCUGUGCUGCAAGUAACUAAUCCUUCUGUAUCAAUAAAGAUGCCUGCACAACCCAUUAGGACAUGCGAAGUUAGUUCUGAGACCUUGGAGGGGAACCUUGGAGUGAUGUGAAAACCUUCUGCUCUACAGUAUCAGGUACCGAGAGGCCGCUAUCAAGUCACCUGAAGCCUUCUGUAGGCUCAACAGCCCCAGCUCUCUCAGCCUGUCCUCAUAGGAGAGGCAUUUCCUCCCUAGGAUCAUUUUUAUGGCCCUUUUCUGGACAUGAUUCAACAGGUCCAUGUUCCUCCUCUACACAGGACUCCACAUCUGGACCCAGUACUCCAGGAAAGCAUCUCUAUUCAGAGGCAGACCGUGGCUGCCUACCUGCGAAAAGGUUGUGAGCAAAAGAGGCACAACUACGCCUGACCUUGCUCAGAUGAGCCAUCGGGACCACAAACCAAUCAUUUCUCAAUGAAUAAAGGCCGGAGAUGCAAGUUGACUGCACUUUCAUAUCACCACUGGGAACGCAGAAAUGUCUGUCAGGUAUCUUCUGGAAAAUUACAAUGACAGCUCAAGAUUAUGAUAGGAGUGUUCUAAAGAGAAUCUGUUCUGUUGAUUUUCUUACUUCUUGAUGACUUGAGCAUUACUUUGGUCACUAAACUAAUUCAUAUUUUCAAGACAUCCUGUUAGCAGUUCAUUUUGAUGAAGGGGAGAACUACUACUAUAACUAAUAGCUCAUUUCUAUCCCACAUGUCACGCUGUAAAACUUCUGUUUUAUCCAGUUUCAAAAAUAGCUACUUCAACUGUGUCAAAAAAACAUAUGGCAAGCAUCACCCCCACACACUGCAGCCUAUUGUCAUCACUCAUUUAUGUCAAAGGUAAUUAAUAUCAUAGGCACUCCUUAAUCUUUCAGAAUGGGCUGUAAGGAAUUGCAGUUAGAAAUACUUCCCAGCAGCUGUCCCUGCAUUUCCUCUAAUUGUGAGAUCUCGUUAUCCUUCUCAUUUAGAAAGUCAAAAUGCAAAAAUCUCUAGAUGGCAUUAAUGAGUGUUUCUCUUUAGCUUUUUAUUCUAUUGGUACACAGCAGUUUUUCCUCA